UACGGGGGGGGCAAGCGUUGUUCGGAAUUACUGGGCGUAAAGGGCUCGUAGGCGGCCAACUAAGUCAGGCGUGAAAUCCCUCGGCUUAACCGGGGAACUGCAUCUGAUACUGGAUGGCUGGAGAUUGGGAGAGGGAUGCGGAAUUCCAGGUGUAGCGGUGAAAUGCGUAGAUAUCUGGAGGAACACCGGUGGCGAAGGCGGCAUCCUGGACCAACACUGACGCUGAUGAGCGAAAGCCAGGGGAGCAAACGGG
rnacentral:rRNA from 1 species